GAUAUUUCAUUCAAUAACUAAUGGACGGAUGAUGCUCGUGCCAUGCAUUUGAAGAUGCAUAGCAACAAGAAGGAAAAACAAGAUGAGAGCCAGCCACAAGAAUCAACGGGUUGUUAAUGAUAGACCAAAAAGUUGCAGUGUUGAGUUUAGCUUAAAUAGCUGACAUGCUGAAUGAUCAUAAUCUACUCAAAUUCGGAAACUAGGCUAUAUAUGUACACAUGCACAAAUCAAGCAGUGUACAUAAAAAGAAGUAUGAAAAAAAUGAUAAAUGAGGAGACUACUUGUAUCAUGUAUCCAGCACUAUCAUUUUUAACUAUUCAGACUACUCUAUCUUCCCUUUCUCGAGAAAUCUGAUCUUCAUCUCCAUCUUCAAUUGCAGCAAUCAUGGGGCACUUAUUAUUAAUUUUCUUCCUCUUUAUUUCAUGUCUUGUUUCAGAUUUUUCAGUCAUAGGAAAACCAUUAUCAGCUGUUUCAUCAAGACCAGAGAAUGUGAUGAAUGAUUUAUAUGAUGAAUCUCGCCUCAAUAUCAAACAUGGGAAAGUCUUUACAAAAAGAAGACAUCUAUAUGAUGGUGAAGAUGCAGAAACAAAAAAAGUAGGGUAUCACUGUCACUACAAAGGUACAUGCAUCGAUGAUGGAGAUUGUUACGACCAAUGCACAAGUCACGCCAGGGGUUUAUGUAAACUGGAAACGUCUCCGCCUAUAAAUAACGCUGAUAGUGAUUAUACUUUACCAGGUAUAUGCUGCUGUGUGUAACCUGGAAAGUUCAACGGACUUGACUCUUGUUAUCUUCAAUGGAGUAAUGAAUAAUAACAUACUUUUUUUUUA